AGGGCGUAUGGGGGAUGCCUUGGCUCUCAGAGGCGAUGAAGGGCGUGAUAAGCUGCGAAAAGCUACGGGGAUUGGCACACACGAAUUGAUCCGUAGAUAUCCGAAUGGGGCAACCCAAUACAUUGAAGAUGUAUUACACCGAUAGGUGGGCAAACCCGCUGAACUGAAACAUCUAAGUAGGCGGAGGAGAAGAAAACAAAAGUGAUUCCGUAAGUAGUGGCGAGCGAACGCGGAUUAGCCCAAACCAAUAAUGUUACGGCAUGAUUGGGGUUGUAGGACCACGACAUUUUAUGUACAAAGAAUUAGAAUUUACUGGAAAGUAAAGCCAAAGAAGGUGAUAGCCCUGUAUGAGUAAUGAGUAUAAUAAAUAGUGGUAUCCUGAGUAGGGCGGGACACGAGAAAUCCUGUCUGAAUUUGGCGGGACCAUCCGCUAAGGCUAAAUACUCCUGAGAGACCGAUAGUGAACCAGUACCGUGAGGGAAAGGUGAAAAGAACCGUGAAUAACGGAGUGAAAUAGAUCCUGAAACCAUACGCCUACAAGCGGUCGGAGCCCUUUAGUGGGGUGACGGCGUGCCUUUUGCAUAAUGAGCCUACGAGUUAACGUUGCUGGCAAGGAUAAGAACUUAAGGUUCGGAUCCGUAGCGAAAGCGAGUCUGAAUAGGGCGCUUUAGUCAGUAGUGUUAGACGCGAAACCGUGUGAUCUACCCAUGGGCAGGAUGAAGCGCUGGUAACACAGUGUGGAGGUCCGAACCGGUUGUCGUUGAAAAGACUUCGGAUGACUUGUGGGUAGGGGUGAAAGGCCAAUCAAACUCGGAAAUAGCUCGUACUCCCCGAAAUGCAUUUAGGUGCAGCGUUAUGUAUAAGUUAUAUAGAGGUAGAGCUACUGAUUGGAUGCGGGGGCUUCACCGCCUACCAAUUCCUGACAAACUCCGAAUGCUAUAUAAUGUUUCAUAACAGUGAGGGCUUGGGUGCUAAGGUCCAAGUCCGAGAGGGAAAGAACCCAGACCAUCAGCUAAGGUCCCCAAAUAUAUACUAAGUUGAAAUAACGAGGUUUGUCUGCCCAGACAGCUAGGAUGUUGGCUUGGAAGCAGCCAUUCAUUUAAAGAGUGCGUAACAGCUCACUAGUCGAGCGGACGAGCAUGGAUAAUAAUCGGGCAUAAGUAUAUUACCGAAGCUAUGGACACCCUCACCCCUUCGGGGUUGGGGGUUGUGGUAGGGGAGCAUUCUAACAGGGUUGAAGGUGAGUCGUAAGGCCUGCUGGACUGGUUAGAAAAGAAAAUGUAGGCAUAAGUAACGAUAAUGCGGGCGAGAAACCCGCACACCGAAAGACUAAGGUUUCCACAGCUAUGCUAAUCAGCUGUGGGUUAGUCGGGACCUAAGGCGAACCCGAAAGGGACAGUCGAUGGCCAACGGGUUAAUAUUCCCGUACUACUGUUAAUUGUGAUGGGGUGACGGAGUGAUGAAAGCGCCGCGAACUGACGGAAUAGUUCGUUGAAGUACCUACCUAUAGGAUCCGCAGGUAAAUCCACGGAUUUUGGGGAAAUACGAUAGUACUCGGAGACUUCGGUUGAAGAGAUAGUGCGCCUAAGUGCUUCCAAGAAAAACCUCUAAACUUCAGAUUAUAAGUACCCGUACCGCAAACCGACACAGGUAGUCGAGGAGAGAAUCCUAAGGUGCUCGAGAGAUUCAUGGCUAAGGAAUUAGGCAAAAUAGACCCGUAACUUCGGGAGAAGGGUCGCCCCUGAGUAAUCAGGGGCCGCAGUGAAGAGGUCCAGGCGACUGUUUAUCAAAAACACAGGGCUCUGCAAAAUCGUAAGAUGAAGUAUAGGGCCUGACACCUGCCCGGUGCUGGAAGGUUAAGAGGAGAUGUCAUGCCGCAAGGUAGAAGCAUUGAAUUGAAGCCCCAGUAAACGGCGGCCGUAACUAUAACGGUCCUAAGGUAGCGAAAUUCCUUGUCGGGUAAGUUCCGACCUGCACGAAUGGUGUAACGAUCUGGACACUGUCUCAGCCAUGAGCUCGGUGAAAUUGUAGUAACGGUGAAGAUGCCGUUUACCCGCAGUGGGACGAAAAGACCCUGUGCACCUUUACUAUAGCUUAGUAUUGACCUUGGAUAAAUGAUGUGUAGGAUAGGUUGGAGACUGUGAAGUGGCGUCGCUAGGCGUUGUGGAGUCAUUGUUGAAAUACAACCCUUUGUUUAUCUGAGGCCUAACCCCGCUUUGCGGGGGACAUUGCUUGGUGGGUAGUUUGACUGGGGUGGUCGCCUCCAAAAGAGUAACGGAGGCUUCUAAAGGUUCCCUCAGUACGCUUGGUAACCGUGCGUAGAGUGCAAUGGCAUAAGGGAGCUUGACUGAGAGACAUACAGGUCGAUCAGGUACGAAAGUAGAGCAUAGUGAUCCGGUGGUUCCGCAUGGAAGGGCCAUCGCUCAAAGGAUAAAAGGUACGCCGGGGAUAACAGGCUGAUCUCCCCCAAGAGCUCAUAUCGACGGGGAGGUUUGGCACCUCGAUGUCGGCUCGUCACAUCCUGGGGCUGGAGAAGGUCCCAAGGGUUCGGCUGUUCGCCGAUUAAAGUGGCACGCGAGCUGGGUUCAGAACGUCGUGAGACAGUUCGGUCUCUAUCUACUGUGGGCGCAAGAAAUUUGAGUGGAUCUGAUUCUAGUACGAGAGGACCGAAUUGGACUAACCUCUGGUGUAUCUGUUGUUCCGCCAGGAGCACCGCAGAGUAGCUACGUUGGGAAGGGAUAAGCGCUGAAAGCAUAUAAGCGCGAAACCCACCACAAGAUGAGAUUUCUUUU
rnacentral:rRNA from 1 species